CAUACCACCCUGAACACCCUCAUUUCGAUCUCAUCUGAGCUUGGAGGUGAAGAGGGUCGGCCCUGGUUAGUACUUGCACGGGAAACCAAGGAUGUGGUAUUA
rnacentral:rRNA from 1 species